UUUUUUUUUUUUUUUCCCAGCUCCCAUCCUGCCCACUUCAGGAAUAGUGCAUCUCACAAAAGUCAGGCAUUUUUAGUGAAGGGUGCUCAUCUGUAAAAUAAACAGGGGCCAGAAUUCAGCAUUAAAACAAAACCUCCACCCCUUUAGUACCACUGAUAACUGGACUUUCCACAAGCACAAAGUUUAUGAAACUGGGGCUCAGGCAAACCACCACCCAGGCAGCAGGGAAGAAAAACACUGACUGUGAAAGGAACCUGCUAACCAUAGGAUGCAAGAUUUGUUCUUCUCGGCUUUCCUGUGGCUAAGAACAUGACUAAUCCCCUGUGACAGCCCCAUGCUUGGAGCCUGCUGCUCUUACUGAUGCAGCUGGAGACUCUGUUGCUUUUCACCAUCACAAUUUGAAAACUCUUUUGCAAUGAAAUUGUUUCUGCAGUGAAAUGGAGGAUCACUAAAGCACUUGCCACAACCACUGGGAAUAAAUUUACUUUUAUUUUA